rnacentral:rRNA from 1 species
AUGGUUUCUUGUAUAAGAAUAAGAAAUUUAGUCUGCUCACUGAAAAUAUUAAAGAGCUGCAGUAUUAUGACUGUACAAAGGUAGCACAAUCAUUAGUCUUUUAAUUGUGGACUGGUAUGAAAGGCUGGACGAACAAGCACUUUUUGUGGGGCAUAGAUUUGAAGUUUUCUUUUGGGUGAAAAGACCCAAAUUAUUAUAAGGGACAAGAAGACCCUUUUAAAGUUUAUUUGAUUGGGCUAUUUUGUUUAAUAUAAAUGAACAGACCUUAAAAUUUUGCUGGGGCGGCAGAUAUAAUUUAUCUAUAUUUAUAUUAAAUUUUUCAAAAAGCUGGGAGAUUUGAGCCUUUAUGAAGGAGAGCUGAAAUGAGUUACUGAAGGGAUAACAGCGUAAUAUUUUUGAGAGUUCUGAUCGACAUUAAUGUUUGCGA